AUGAACUGAAGUAACAGUGGUGCCAAGCAACUGCAAAGUAGAAUUGAAGACACUUGAGCAGAUAAGGAAUGACUUAAAUAAGCCUGGGGAAAAGGAUAAUGGAAAGAAUACAACAGUAAGAGGUACAAGAGUAAGAAGGAAAGAGGAACAGUGUGAUAAGAAAGAGACGACAAAUGUAGAAAGACCUGGAAAAUCUCAGGAAGACUUCAAGAGUUAACUCCUUCAACAGGAAAGUAGGAACAAAUGUGGUCCAUGCAAAGCCAUUGCCUUCCCAGGUAUAAGCACUCCUUGUUAGGACCUCUUUUUUUACUUAAUUUUUGCAAUCUGAGUGCAUAUGUGAAGUUUGUUAUCGAUAACACUCACCACUGAAUGGCUUAUUAAUUACAAUUUCUACAUCAUUCAGCACUUAUAGAAGCACAGGACAGCACAGCGAUGUUACACAUACCUCUCCCUGCUAAUGGUCAGAAAGUGAGGAGGAAGUGACAGAACUGCAGUGUGUUAGCGCAACACAGAUGUGCAGGUCUGUAACAAAACCUGUUAGUUCCCAACCCACCUUCCUCUUAGGAUUUAGAGAGACAUUUUGAUGGACAGAGAACAAGGCAAGGAAUGAAGUUAAGAAUUAAUCCUUUCUGCCAACUCCUGAGAAUCCUCACAGAACUGAGCCUCUGGCCUGUUCCAUAUCCAAAAGUACCAAAGUGAAAAACAGCAAACCCAUACAAUUCUAGCUAUCCAGUUGUGUGCAGCCCAUGUUUCUUCUUGGCAAAUAUGGGACUCUGUCUUCUGAUUGCUACAAAAGCAUGGUGUGGAGAGAACCCCAUGUAUUGAUUUCACCUCACUCUUCUCUGGGAAUAAACCAAUACUUCUACUCAUCUACCGACAGCAAAAAAAAAACCAAACAAAACAGGGUCACGCUGAGUUUGGGAUUGUAAAAAUUACUGGACUGAGCAUGUUAAUAAAUGUCCACCCAAAGUAUCAAAAUUUAACCCUGAUAGUUUCCUAAUUCUUAAUAAACAGUAAUCUACAUAAAUAUACCGAGAGUAAUACAGCUUUGUCUUCUAGGCUCAAACCAGCCAUUUGAUCAACUGAAAAAUGAAUGAAUACACUUUGAAAGUGUGCACUAAUAAUCAUUUGCCAAUGAGAGCUCCAGGUAAUGGAUGUGCAGAUGGA
rnacentral:lncRNA from 1 species